AUUGGAUAAAGCGGGGAAGUGAAUUUGCGCAACAGCCGAGGUUCGACCUUCACCAUCAAACAGGAAGUAGAUGAAGACAUGACCAACCCUGAUACAGCUCAAGACCAAUGGAAUACACAAGGUUCAACCUUCACCAUCAAACAGGAAGUAGAUGAAGACAUGACCAACCCUGAUACAGCUCAAGACCAAUGGAAUACACAAGAUAAAGAUCUUUUGGAUGGAGAGGACAUGAGACAAUCAUCCAUUACAGAAUGCAGUGAAGAUGAGUCCCAUCCGUGUUUACAAUGCAAUAAGACAUUUACAGAUGAGAAUUCUUUAGUUCUACAUCAUAAAACACACUCUAGGGAAGUUGAGUUUUCUAGUCAUGCUUGGACAGAGAUUGGAGACAGAUGCUUCAAGUGCCCCCAUUGUCAUAAGAAUUUUGAAUGUAGGGAUACUCUUAUGACCCAUGUGAGCACACACACUGGAGAAGAAUCUUAUAGUUCUCAUUGUGAAAAGGGAUCUUCUCAAAAGAGUUAUCUUACCCAUCAUAUAAGAACACAUACAGGAAAAAAAACCUUUAUCUGCUCUCAUUGUGAGAAGGGAUUUUCUCAAAAGGGCGAUCUUACCCGUCAUAUAAGAAUACACACAGGAGAAAAACCCUAUAUUUGCUCUCAUUGUGAGAAGGGAUUUGUUAAAAAAAGUGAUCUUACCCAGCAUGUACGAACACACACAGGAGAAAAACCCUAUAUUUGUUCUCAUUGCCAGAAAAGAUUUUCUCACAAGACCACUCUUACAAAUCAUAUUAGAACACAUACAGGAGAAAAACCCUAUAUUUGCCCUCAAUGUGAGAAGAGAUUUUCUCGAAAGGGCGAUCUUACCCAUCAUAUAAGAAUACACUCAGGAGAAAAUCCUUAUCAUUGCUCGUAUUGUGAGAAGAGAUUUUCUGACAAGACCACUCUUACAAAUCAUAUUGGAAUACACACAGGAGAAAAACCCUAUAUUUGCUCUCAUUGUGAGAAGAGAUUUUCUGACAAGACCAAUCUUACAAAUCAUAUUAGAACACAUACUGGAGAAAAACCCCAUAUUUGCUCUCUUUGUGAAAGAGGAUUUUCUCAAAAGGGUGAUCUUACCCGUCAUAUGAGCACACACACUGGAGAAAAAUUUUAUCGUUGCUCUUAUUGUGAGAAGAGAUUUUCUAAAAAGAAUGAUCUUACCUGUCAUAUUAGAACACAUACUGGAUCAAAACCCUAUAUUUGCUCUCAUUGUGAGAAGAGAUUUACUGACAAGUCCACUCUUACCCGUCAUAUAAGAACACACACAGGAGAAAAACCUUAUCAUUGCUCUUAUUGUGACAAGAGAUUUUCAGACAAGGUCAAUCUUACAAAUCAUAUCAGAACACACACUGGAGAAAAACCCUUUAUUUGCUCUCAUUGUGAUCAGAGAUUUUCUAAAAAGAGUCUUCUUUCCCGUCAUAUAAGAACAUACACAGGAGAAAAACCUUAUCGUUGCUCUCAUUGUGACAAGAGAUUUUUUGACAAGGCUGUUCUUACAAAUCAUAUUAGAACACAUACUGGAGAAAAGCCAUAUAUUUGCUCUCAUUGUGAGAAGAAAUUUACUAAAAAGAGUCAUCUUACCAGUCAUAUUAGAACACACACAGGAGAAAAACCUUAUCGUUGCUCUCAUUGUGAAAGAGGAUUUUCUCAAAAGGGCGAUCUUACCCGUCAUAUAAGAACACACAGGAGAAAAACAUAAUCGUUGCUCUCAUUGUGAAAGAGAUUUUCUGACAAGUUCAAUCUUACAAAUCAUAUCAGGGGCCUGUAUCACUAAACAGUACUUAGUGUAACGGGACUUAGUGUCGCUGCGACGCUUCAUACACUAAGACGGGUCUUACUGACGUCCUGUUGGUGUGUCAGUUCCACUCAACAGUUCUUUACUAAGUCCUGUGUGCGACGCGUCUUCAAUAAUAAAAUGUCUCGAUUUUGAGUCUAUGAAGCCUAAUUUCGUGACCUUCGACCUUGUGUGAAGAUAAAAAGUAGUAAUUUCCCACAAGUUUUCGUCUGCGACUAAAAAGUGAAAGGAGGAAUUUUGUCACUUAAACAUAAUUUUGACCUACUGUAGGAGUAUAAUGGGGAAGGUAUGGUAUUAACCUUUUUCUUAAGACAACAUAAGAUCUAGAAGUAAAAUAUUGAAAGUGAAAUGUAUGCAGGGGAAGUUAGUGAUGGAAGUUGUAUUUGAUACCUCGACGAAUCGCUGCCGAUUUAUUAAUUAAUGAUUGACAGUGAACUGUGCUUGUGGCGGUAGCGAGCCCGCUGUAGCUGUCAGUCUGGUCGUGGAUUACAAUCAUGCUAUUUCUCAUGCACGACCAAACUAUUAACUAGACUAAGUUGUAGUAGGCCUAGGUCUAGUAUCAGUACUGGCAGUAGGCCUAGACCGAAAAUUUCUGUCUCUUUUGUUCGUUAGCCGCUGAUUUGGGUAGGGUCGGCUCCUCUCUUUAGACCGACCCUACCCCAUCAGAUUCGGAGUAAGAGGCUAACGAACGAAACUAAAGGCGUAAAGUCUAAAGAGACAUAAUUUUUUGGUCUAGGCCUGGCUACAAGUACAACUUACCAGAAGGCCUAAUACUUCUAGAUACUAAUAGAUCUAGUAGAGAUCUAGAUCUAAAUCUAAUGUUAAUCUUAGUCUUACUGAGUUACUCUUAGACUUUUAGUUGGGGCCUAGACUAUACCCUAGACAAGUAGUAGUAGGCCUAGACUCUCUAGGUUUAGGCCUGCUCCCGACCUACGGUCCUUAGUGAGCAACUUAGUCUUACUCUUAGAUUUAUUUACAUCUAGGGACAGGGUCUAUAAUCAAUACUAGGAGUAGCAGUACCAGUGGCAGUACUACCAGUAUCAAGUACAUUUCUAGAUCUAGCAGGGUCAGGGGACAGUCACAUAGAAUUAGAUCUAGAUGAUAGAUCUAGAACUCUAGACUCUAGGCCUAGACUCUAGUAGAUCUAGGCCUACUAGUAGAACUAGAAUAGAAGUAGACCUCUAGCCUAGAACUGAAUUGGACAAGAUUGUUAAUGUAACUGUUACUCUUAGUGUUAAUGUUAGCAAUAAAACUGAAAAUAUUUCUGCAUUAUACACCUAGAUAUAGACUAGUCUAGACCCUAGACCUAUUUAUAAAUUGAAAUUAAUAUUUUGUAGAUUCUAGGCCUAGAUCUACACAAUUGGUCGUACGUGAGAAAUAGUGUGGAUGUACACUAGAUCUAGAUCUCUAUAUAGUAUAUGGCAGUACUAUCGCUCAUUUCUAUUCACACUAAUUAAUUACAUGCCCUUGAAUUUGAUAAUAAAUUUAUCACAUGACAUUACACUAAGAACAGUUCCUACGUCUCAACGAGACGUAGGCUACGCUCUGUAUCCAACUUAGUUAGAUUUUCUAAAGAGUCAUCUUU
rnacentral:misc_RNA from 1 species